ACUAAUGUUCCUUGGGUAAAGCUAUGGGGAAAACUGCUGAUGGAUCUAUGCAGUUUUUUCUCUGUCCUGUUGCCCCUACUUGAAUGGUUGCCCCAAUAAAAUAGUGGAAAUAGUGUGUAUUCAUUAGUCUAGAUUAGCUUUUUAUUUUUCUUUUUAGAUUACUCUUUUAAAUGCUUUAUAUUCAAGUGUAUUUGCUUCAUCAUCUUUGUUUACAUAAAUUCUACAGGAUGUGACACUAUUCCCCCAACUCAGAUUUUCAAGAAGAUAUUUGAAUUUCAGCUCCAUCUCUGAUUGCUUUAUACAUUGUGGGCUAUAUAUUGGUACUGAUAGAAAAUUAGUUUGCUAUGUUCUGAUGCAUUUCAAUUUGACUAGGAACAGCAUGCAGUUUACCAGCACCCUGUUUUAUCUGAUCGGCAUUUAUUUGCAGUUUCAGUGUGAAAAGUGGUUGGUGUUCUGGGAUGUACACAGACAGGACCCACAGUCGCUGCUCACGGGAGCUGCCUCCUUGCUACUAAUGCUGCCUGAAGGUGUAGCAGAUAUUCAAGUGCAUUUUCUUUCCCUGGAUUAAACACUUUAAUUAUUUAAGAUCUGAGGUACAGCUGCCAUAUCUUUUUUUUCUUUAUGUUCUGUUUCAAUGCUACAACUGACUUUGUUUGUUUGUCCUUGAAAACUGAAAUUUUUCUUACCCAAGAACUUGUAUCAUCUCAAUCACCGUAUAAUUGUUUGUUUUUUCAUGGCAUGUGCUCUCUUCAUGGAUUCUUGGUUGUGAAGCUGAGUAUUGAUUUUAAAAGUCUCGCCCUGUGCCCUGAGUCUGCAGGUUGCUGUUUUUGUGCUCCUAGUUCUGAAACAUGUAAACCCUCGGUCUCUCAUGUCUGAAGACCACCUGAAGGACACUGGGUCUCUCCUGCCAUUGCUCAGACACCUCUUAAAAAGGCUUGGGACUGAUGAUCAUGAACAGGGCAUUCAACUUUUUUUUUAUUUAAAGAAAAGGAAACAAAAAAAUUACAUGGAGAUAAAAAAGGGUAGAAAUAAUACAAAAUUACAGAAAAAUAAAUGGUAAGAAAUCGCUGGUUGAUAAGUUACAUAUUGUCAUCUUAGAAAUAGCUGUUCAGGUUACAAAAUUAAUGUAUUUAAAAUGACAUUCAAGGGGCUGGGGAUUUAGCUCAGCAGCAUAAGCGCCUGCCUUGCAAGCAGGCAGUCGUGAGUUUGAUCCUCAGUACAGAUAAAAAGGAAAAAGACAAAAAAAAAUGAUAUUCAAAACGUGACACUGCCAACAGUUCUGCUCAAUGAUCGAACAAAAACUCAGUAAUAUGGUUGUCAGUCCUACACACCUGUUUUACAUCUCAAAGAGGGUAAGAUUAAACAUAUCAAAACAAAACAAAACAGUUAAAAAAACAAUUUAAAGAAAUACAGAUUUCAAAGCAAGUCCACUGGAGAUCUUCACUGUCUAUCUAACUGUCUCUAGUUUCUUACAGUCUUCACCCACAUUAUAUAUAUAUAUUGCAUAUUAUAAAACUAAUCAAAUCAUUACAGGAUGAUGAAGGCUUUUUAGGUCUUCAAGAUCUGACAUUGGGGAAGACAAUAAUAACUACCAUUGCAUCUCAUCACACCUCUUAUUCUCAUCGUGAUAGCCAUCCCCAUCUUUACAUAUGUUGAAAUUGAACUUAUGAGACUAGACUAAUAUCAUUCUGAUCAGUGAAUAAUAGUAUUGCUAGAAUUUAUAUCAUAAUGCUACAAAAUUAGCAUUGGGUUUCUUAGUGUCUCUUCUUCACAGUAUCUGUUCAUUACAUCUUGCAUUAUAUAAUCUGUUCCCGUAAAUAAUUUUAAAAAAAAAGUCUCAUGUGUGAAUUUCUACAUAUAUAUCUAUCCUCUCUGUAUUAUAGGGAAGAAUAAAUCAUAACAAGACAGCAAAACAAAUUCCUAGAAAAACAUGCAAUGGAUAAGACAUAUAAGACCACAAUAUAGGUGAUCUUCCGUAGUUACUAUGUUUUCUCUUGUUAUUUUCAAUAGAUUUGUCCACAUCAUUGACUUAAUAUAGUUAAACAUAGUAUUACCUAUUUUUAUAAAAACACAACUUUGAAAGCAUUGUAGGAAUUGAGAGCUGUUAAUAAUUAAGGGGCAUUCAACUUUAAAAAAUGAUGCAGUAUUUUAGUUGAUUGUAUUUGUCUCCAGAAUUCAGCGGCCUCAGUGUAAGGUCCUCUUUGGGCACCAAAGUUCCUUUUUCAUUUUGUUAUAGCCACUUUCUUUUAUAUAUUUCCUGCCUUGGUCAUUUCUCAAUGGCAGAUUUUGUUUCCUUUGAUUGUUUUCUGGGUACUUGGGCUGUUGUCUCAUCCAUACUUGCCACUAUUCAGUAUUAGGAUGUGUUGACAUUUAGCCUUGUGCCCGUGAGGUGCAGUGGCACACCAUGACCUGUAGCCCGAAUCUGCUGGUUCAACUCCUAGGCCAAGCCCGGAAGAUGCACUGUGCUUAAUACCAUUUGCUUGUUCCUCUGGAAUUCUUCAUACAGCUCUGGCCUUGCACACCGGCCAAAUUUGCUGGUUACUCCUUUGGUGUAAUAUGAAGAAUAGUGGUGGAGUUAACAGGUCCUUUGUGGGGUUGCUGGGGUUUACUGUGCCCUACUGCAGAUGUACUUUGUUGAAUUCUGUGUGGUCUUUGUACACUAUCUUCACAACAUCCCCAAAGAAGAAUCCCUGUGCCCGUGGCGCAGCAGCCUUGUUCCACUGAGCCUGCUUUCAAGCCAUCACGAACUGUGGUCCUGGGCUACUGGGCUCACCUGGAUGAGGACUGUGAGCUGCUAAUGUCCUUGUGUAGCCCUGGCCAGAGUGCUACCAGAGCUGGACCACAGAAUGGCAACAAUGCCUCCUCCUGCUAGGGAGGAAGAUGUGCUUCUUGCCAGCUGUGUAAGACACAGCAUCUCCAGGGUGCUCUGCCACUCUGCUGCACAUGCCUCGCUGGCCUGGAUUCUUUUCUCCACACUCCUGGCUUCUGGAGCAUGAUAAUCUAAAUGAUGCAGUUUGGAGGCAAGUAAGUGAAAGUUUGCUCUGCCUUGAGUAACAGCUCUUUAUGUGAAAAGCCAUCUGUCACUUAAAAUUUUUAAAACUGAAUUUAUUUUAAUUUCUCCAAGGGAAAUUUCUACUUAAAGGAAACUAGCAGUCAGAUUUCUAGAAAGCCUCCAUGUUAGAUACAAAUAACCAUAAAUUUAUCUGUUUUAUAAGUUCGAAGUUUAGAGUCUAUCUCAUUGUAAAUUUGUGGUUAUAUUCUUAUUAAGCUAUUGGGAAUUUUUUUCAAAUUAUGAGGCAAUAAUUUAUAGCAUAAACUGAAUAAAUUCCUCGAUGCUCAAAAUCAAUAUCUUUCAUACAUGUGAUAUAAAUAUACUUCUGAGUGACACUGUUAUGUGAAGUGUGAAGGAGCAAGGAAUAAUUUAAUUAGAUCAUAAUAUAGAAGGAGACUUAGAAGCAAAGAAUUUUGAAGAGUAGAAAUCAUAGCUGAAAAAAUUACUUGCAGAUUUGUGUAGGAAUUUUCUUGGGGAACUGUUUUGUCUCAAGUUAUUGCCAGAAGCUAGUUAAAUUUUCUUUAAAAUUAAACCUUGGAUCCCCAAGCAGUGCAUAGCUGCCUACAUUCUAUCUAAUGAGCCAAAGUAUGCGCAGCAAUCUCCAGCCCAUGGGAAAGCUUUGGUGCUUCACUUGGAGACUAGUAAGGUUCCACCCAGUGACCCCAAGUGGCCAGAGUCAUCUGGUAAGAUCUGUCUAAGGACCUCCACUCAACUGGGGAAACUCCCUGCAAUAGGAAUAGAUAUCCUGAACCCAAGAAACAACUGAGAUCUUGCUUUCAGCUUCCCUAAAGGAAUAUAUGAAAAUGAAAACAAAAGAGCAAACUACAGUCUCAAACCUCCAGCCCAUCCCAAGCAAGCCUAAGAGAUAUGGACAUAGAAAAUGUAAGCCAUACACCUGAAACUCCUCAAAUGCUAGCAAUUGAAGUAAAGAACCAACUCCAGGAAGCUAUAAAGGAACUCAGAUCAGAAAUAAUCUUCCAGGUAAAAAAAGAAAUGAUAAAUAUAAUGAAAGAAAUGCUAAACACAUCUAAAGAAGACAUAGUUAAAAAUUAGAGGAAAAAUGCAAAAAGAUGGAAACCUUCAAUGGACAAUAUUAGAAACUAACAGAAUGCAUGAAACAGAUUCAAGGAGAUAUACAGGAAUCAAAAAUUCCAUCAAAAGUUGGCAAAACUGCCUUAAUGAAAGGAAGAUACACUUUCAGGCAUUGAAGACAAGAUUGCAACUAGUGAGCAGGAAGGGAAAGAUCUUUUAAAAAUAACAAGGAAUCAGAAAAUAAAAAUUCAACAGCUGCAAGAUGAUGCAAAGUAAAAUGAUAUAAGAUUAAUAUGGAUAAAUGAAAAAGAAGCAGACAAAACAAAUGAUAUCAAGAGGCUAUUUACAGAAGUAAUAACUGAAAAUUCCCCAAACACGAGAAUGGAAACUGACAUACAGAUCAGUGAAGCAUAUAGAACUCAAAAAGAAAACUACACCCAGACAUGUAAUAAUCAACAUCCCAGAAGUCCAACAUAAAACAGAAUAUUAAUAGCUAUUAGGGAGAAGAGAAAGAUCACCUAUAAAGAAAAGCCUAUCAGAAUCACAGGAGACUUCUCAACACAAACAAUGAAGUCAAGAAGCACAUGGAGUGAAGUAUUUCAGAUCUUAAAGAAAAACAAUUUCCAACUCAGACUGAAGUACCCUGCAUAACUGUCCUUCAAAAUUGAUGGAGAAAUAAGAUGCUUCCAAGACAAAGAACAGCUGAAAAACUUCAUGACCACCAAACCAACCCUGCAAAGAAUGCUGAAAGACAUUCUAGACAGACAUAGAAAAAAAAACCCACUAAGCACAGCAAACAAUUAAACAGAGUGGAAAAGUAAGGAAUCAACAGCAGAAAGAUAACAUGUCAAAAGUAAACCAAUAUAUAUCUAUAACCAUUAAUGUAAAUGACCUCAAUUCACCAAUUAAAAGGAACAGCCUGGCAGAAUGGAUCAAGAAACAACAUCCAACCAUAUGCUGUAUACAAGAAACUCAUCUAACCCAAAGGAAACUCAUAGAAUGAAAGUCAAAGGAUGGAAUAGGAAAUCCACACCCCCACAAAAAGCAGGGAUAGAUAUUCUGUUUGCAGACAAUGUGAACUUCAAACCAAGAAUGAUCAAAAGAGAUAAAGAAGGUCACUACACAUUGGCCAGAGGAAAAUUUCAAGAUGAAGAGAUAACAAUCUUAAAUAUAUAUGCACCGAAUUUGGAAGCAUCCAGCUAUACAAAAACAAAUAUUAACAGAAAUGAAACAUCAAAUAAGCAAAAACACAAUGAUAAUAGGAGACCUUAACCCCCCAUUGACAAAAAGAAACAGAUCAGAUAGACAGAAAAUCAGCACAGAAAUAACAAAACUGAAUCACACUUGUGAACAAAUAGACUUGGUAAACAUAUACAGAGUGUUCCACCCAACAACAUCAGAAUAAACAUUCUUCUCAGCAGCACAUGGGAAUUAGACCAUAUACUAGCCCACAGAAUAUGCUUAAGUAAAUGCAAAAGAAUUGAAAUUAUCUCAUGCAUGUUAUCGGAUCAUAGCACCAUGAAACUAGAAAUUAAAGACAAAAGAAACUGCAAAAACCACACAAGCACAUGGACAUUGAAUAAUACACUCCUGAGCAAUCAGUGAGUCACAGAAGAAAUUAAAGAAGAAGUUAAGCAAUAGCUACAAGCAAAUAAAAAUGCAAAUAUAACUUACCAGAACCUGUGGGAUGCAAUGAAAGCAGUCCUCAGAGGAAAAUUUAUUCUUGUGAAUUCCCGUAUCAGGAAAACAGAACACACACAAAUAACCUGAUGCUACACCUCGAACAUUUAGAAAGAAAAGAGCAAGUCAAGCCCAAAGCCAAAAGAAGGGAAGAAAUUAUAAAGAUCAGAGCAGAAAUCAGUGCAAUAGAGACUAAGAAAAUGAUACAAAGAAUCAAUGAAUCAAAGAGUUGGUUCUUUGAAAGAAUAAAUAAAAUUGAUAAGCAAACCUUAUUAAAAAAGGAAAGAAAAACUCAAAUCAUUGCAAUUAGGAAUGAGAAUGAUAAAAUCACUACAGGCCCUGUGGAAAUAUAGAUGAUCAUCAAUACCUAUUUUGAAAACCUCUACUCUCAUGGGCUUGAUAAAACAGAAGAAAUGGACAGAUUCCUAGAAACAAAUGAAUUACCAAACCUGGAUCAAGAUGAUGUAAAACUGCUGAAUAACCCAAUUUCAAUCAAUGAAAUUGAAAAUGUAAUUAAGACCUUACCAUGAAAGAAAAGUCCAGGUCCAGAUGGAUUCACUGUGGAAUUCUUUAAGAAAUUCAAAGGGGACUUAAUGCUGAUGUUUCACAACUCUUGAAAUUGAAAGGGAAGCAAUUCUCCCUAACUCAUUCCUGGAUGCAAGCAUUACUCUAAUAUGAAAACCAGAGAAAAAUCCAACUAAAAAAGAGAACUACAGGCCAAUCUCCCUAAUAAACAUAGAUGGAAAAAUUCUCAAUAAAAUAUUGGCAAACAGAAUGUAACAAAUCAUCAAGAAGAUUAUAUACCACAACCAAGUGGAAUUCAUCUCAGGAAUGCAGGGAUGGUUCAACAUAUGCAAAUCAAUAAAUGCAAUCCACCAUAUCAAUAGAGCCCAAAAUAAUUACAUGAUCAUUUCUAUAGAUGCAGAAAAAGCUUUUGAUAAGACCCAACAUCAUGGUAAGAACCUUAUAGAAAAUUGGAAUAGAUGGUCUUUAUCCCAAUAUGGUAAAAGUUGUUUAUGACAAACCAACAGCCAGCAUCAUAUUAAAUGGCCAAAAGCUAAAAGCUUUUACUCUAAAAUCAGGCACAAGACAAGGAUGUCCAUUAUCACCGCUCCUAUUCAAUAUAGUUCUGGAAAUACUAGCCAGAGCAAUUAGACGAGAGAGAAAUAAAAGGAGUAAGGAUAGGAAAAGGAAUUAAAUUAUCAUUAUUUGCAGAUGACAUGAUACUCUACAGAGAAGACCCCCAAAACUCCAUUGAAAGACUCAUAGGUAUAAUAAAUUCAGUAAUGUAGCUGUAAAAAAAGUCAACACUCAAAGAUCAAUAGCAUUGCUAUACAGAAACAACAAAAUUACUGAGAGAGAAACAAGCCACAUUCUUCACAAUAGCAUUUAAAAAAAGAAGAAAUUCUUAGGAAUCAAUUUAACAAAAGAAGUAAAAAAAUCUAUUCAGGGGAAACUAUAUUACCCUGAAAAAAAAGUUGAAGAGGAUCUCAGAAAAUGGAAACACAUUCCUUGUUCAUGGAUAGGAAUAACAAAUAUUGUGAAAAUGGCCAUUCUUUCAAAAUUAUUAUACAGUGUUAAUGUAAUCCCAGUCAAAAUACUACUAGCAUACCUCAAAGAUCUAGAGAAGUCAUUCCUAAAAUUCAUCUGGAACCAGAAAAGACCUAGAAAAGCAAAGGCAAUUCUGAGCAACAAAUGCAAGGCAGGAGACAUCACAAUCCCUGACUUGAAGUUAUAUUACAAAGUUACUGUAAUAAAAUCAGCAUGAUACUGGAAAAAAAACAGACUUGAAGAUCAGUGUAGUAGAUUAGAAGAUACAAGUACAAUCACAAACACACUCAGCCACCUUAUCUUUGUAAAGGGGCUAAACACGUUCACUGGAAGAAAGAUCGUCUCUUUAUAAAUGGUGCUGGAAAAACUGGCUUUCCAUAUGCUGAAAACUAAAACUAGAUCCAUGCCUAUCACCACGUUUCCUUUAUACAUCAGAGAUCUAAAUAUUAAAACAGAAACACUAAGUCUAUUGGAAGGCAAAUUAGGUAAAAAACUUAAAGACCUAAUUGUGGGUAGAGAAUUCAAGAACAAAACUCAAACUGCACAGGAAAUACUUCCCAGAAUCAAUAACUAGGAUCUCAUCUUAUUAAUACAUUUUUGCAGGUCAAAAGGAAUCUCCAGCAGAGUGAAAAGGAAAUCCAUGAAUUUUGAAAAAAUCUUAGUCAACUGUCCCUUAGAAGUUUAAAAAAUCAGAUCCCCCAAAUUCAAAGACCCAAUCCAAAAAUGGGCAUCUGAGAUGAAUACACAGUUCUCAGAUAAAGAAAUACAAAUGGUAAAUAAAUACAUGAAAAAAUGUUCAGCAUCAUUGUUCAUUAGAGAAAUGCAAAUUAAAACCACACUGAGAUUCCAUUUCCCUCCAGAAAGAAUGGCCAGGAUCAAGAAAACUAUUAACAACAAAUGCGGGGGAAAAGGAACUCUUUUGUACUGUUGGUGGGAGUGUAGACUGGUACAACCACUAUGUUCUCGUCUAUGUCAGUCUGGAAGUUCCUCAAAAAACUGGGAUUGGAAGUCCCAUUUCACCCAGCUAUUCCACUUCUAGGCAUAUUCCCAGAAGAAUCAGAAACAUCAUAUCACAGUGAUAUAUGUGCACCCAUGUUUAUAGCAGCACAAUUUGUAAUAGCCAGAUCUUGAAAACAACCUAAAUGCCCAUGAACUGAGGAAUGAAUAAAAAAGAUGUGGUAUUUUUAUACAAUGGAGUACUACUCAGCUAUAAAGAAUGAUCACAUUGAGAUUAUUGUAAGUGGAUACAACUUGAGACCAUACUCAUAAAGUGAAAUAAAUCAAACUCACAUGUGUAAAUACCAUAUUGUCUCCUUAGUGUAAGAAAUAGUAAGCAUACAUAAGAUAUAAAAUCCUCAAUAAAUACAGUGAAAGAGUAAGAAUCUACUCAAAGUGGAAAAAUAAUAUCUCAGGGAAGACCAGGAAAAAGAAAAAGAAAGGGAAAAGAAAAAAAUAUCUAAAGUUGUGUAAACACACAGGAUAGCUGAUUGUGCUACAAAUUCUCUAAGUCUUGGAACAAAACAGUUGGAUUGGAACAAUUUUGCAUGCUUAUGUCCGGUGAUCUGAGGAACUCUUGAAGAUCACUACGGAAAAUAUAAACCUUAGUUCUGUUUCUACCACCUUGUUUUGAAGGCCUGUAUCGUUAUUCCUUUAGGCUCUUUGAUAUUGUUGUUUGUCUUUUUGUUUCUUAUUACUCUAGUAAUCUGUUUUGUUUUGUUUUUCUCUCUAAUACAGAAAGGUAUACAUGUAGAGGCUUAUACAUUCCUAGAACUACUUCUAAACAUUUUAUGAGAAUCAAUUAUAUUAUGUGUGAUGAAAUGAACAGCUACUUUGAAGAAAAGCAGACAUUAUGGUACCGACUGCUGAUUCUGUAUCAUCAGCUGUGAAAUCCAGUAAUGCUUCUAUUCUUUGUGUAGAGUGGUUUUAGUCUGUUUUGUAUUGUUUAAUUUCAACAUACAUGAAGGAAUAGACAGCUAUUUUGACGAGAACAAGAGACAUUAUGGCAGCCAUUGUUGAUUUUCAUAUUGUCUGGUUUUGAAGGCCUUGUAAUGACUUCAUUACCCUACUCUGAUCAGUUGUAUACUAUUUUGUUUUGUAUUAAUUCAUUGUGUUUGAAGGUAUAGACAACCAUUUAGAAGGAAACAAGAGACAUUAUGGUAGGAACUGUAGAUCUCCUGUUGUCUUGCUUUGAAAUCUUUGUCACUUACAUUGUUGUUUUUCUGAUCUGCUUUGUUCUGUUUAGUUUCAUCCUUUUUUAAAUAAAAUAAAAUGUAAAAACUAAACCUCACUUAUGUCAACCAUAAUGAUUUGAAAGUUUAGCAUGGUCAGGACAUCCCUUUUGCUUGCUUGCCUGUGUUUCAUGUACACAGGGGAGUUUAUCAGGAGUCACAGAUGAUUUUUCUAACUAGUCUGUCAGACUGCAGUGAUGCUUAUAUUAAAAGCAAAACAUAUAUUUAGGCAUAGUGAUUUUACUCUAGUAUAUUCUCAAGUUCUCUCUUUUUUUGCUAUUCAUUUAAAAAAUUUUAAUAACCAAAUUUUCAGAGUAUUAAAGAAAGUGGGACAGAGAGCAUCUUUUAUAUUCUAGGUGCUCAGACAUCCUGCGUUUUCAUGAUCCCAGCCAGCCAAGAUCUUGGAGGAUCUUGACAGACGGUCAUUGUUGGUCUACAUGAAAUUUGUGCCAUGCUGUGGGGCAGAGCACAACUUCCCCUGCAACAGAUGUGACUUUUCUCCUUUAGGCUGCAGAUUGCAGAGACACUGAACAAUGCUAGUAACAUCUAAACCAAGCCUUGUGGGUCUCUUGUGAAGAACACAGCGGCUGCUGGGUGAGAAGGAUUCUCUCUGAGAGUUUUUUACAUCACCUUAGCCACUGGGAUUUGAUCUCUUUACAGGGAUACAUUAUGGUUUAGAUCUAAAAUGUACCCCAAAAGUUCAUGUACUCUGAGGUGAGGCUUUUGAAAGAUAAUUGGAUCGAGGGUAACUGAUUAGUCACUGCCGCAUCAGUGACUCGAGUCCAGUGGGGUUAGAGGCAGCGUGGGUUCCGCAAAGGGGCCACCAGGGAUGUGAUGCAGAGCAGGGGUUCUUGUUCCUGCGUCCUCCCUUGUCACUCUGCUUCCUGGUUUCCUGGAGUGAAUAGCUGUCUCCACCAUGCCUUCCACCAUGCUGUUUCUGCUCAGUGCUAUUUGACUGUGAGCCAGGCUACCGCGAGUCAAAUUAAAUCUCUCCUUCUUCACGCUGGGGGUGCUGUCUGCUGUCUCAUUGCUGGGACAGUGACUAACACGUGUCAUAAACCCAGAGACUGAUGGUUACCUUUAGAUUUGUUUUGAUUCCACUUGUGGUAUCUCAGAAAUUCUGGUUUUUUCAUCAGCAAAAAUUCAUCAUUGAGAUAUUCUUCUUGCAUUUUGCUAAGCAUAAAUGGUAAUUUCUGUGAAUCAUGUGAUGGUGGUCACAGAGAGACCACAGGCUCUUUGACUGCUCACUGUUCUUAAAUAAUCAUAGGGAAAGGAAAUUAUUUUGAACCACCCUUCAAUAAGACAUUAGUGUACCAAAAAUAAAAAGAACAUAAUGAACUAUGGUAAACUAAUAGGAAAUUCAUAAUAAUUUCACAAACGGUACUGAGGAAAAAUUCAUUUAGUCUUUUCUCACCGCAACUCAUAUGUCAAGAUAAAUCUCAGAAGGAUUACAGAGUUAAAUGUGAAACAUGAACGCACUAAGCCCACAGAAGAAAAUACAGGUGAUUAUUAAGCUGACAGGAAAGAUUUCUAAGCUUAAAAGCAAAUAGAAGAAACAAAGCAACACACUGGCUCUGUUAGACCUUAACGUCUGACUUGGCCUGUGCGCUGGGAGAAUCGCCUCUGGUAGGUGUGGACUGCACCCGUUUCUGGGCUUUGGAUGAGUGGUACUGUUGUGUCUUUCAAGGGUGUGAUCCUCAGAGCAUUGCUGGUGAGCUAAAUUAAAAUAAUGCCUGUGCCCGGGAAGGUGAGUCAUAUAAGCAGCCUGGAGUAUAUUUUAACUUAUUAGUUAAAAUAUGUAGAAGUAAAAUAUUUAUACACCUUUUCUGACCCUAAUUUGUCAAUUCUCUCUAUUAGAAUAACUUGUUACAAUCAAACAUUUAUGAAAUUAUUGUGAUGAAAAGUAAGAGUGGAAGGAGGGAGGAGACAAAGUAUUGGAAGUGGAAAAGGAGGGGAAAGGACAGAAGAGGCAGGAGAAGUGAAGGGAGGGAAAUGGGAGGCAUCUUCACGUCACACAGAAGGUUAGCAAAGCCAGCUGGAGAUUAGAAGCCGGAGGGACUGAGGGCUGGGGUAUCCCUGGUGGAACUUCUUUUUGGUUCUUGACAUCAAGGAACAGCUCAGGCUCAGACGUGGGGUUGCUCCUCGGCGAGGUCUGCCUGCAGGACCUGAAGACCUCGGUGUGAGUUUUGUUCCCACUGCCCUCCUUUCUUGGCACUUUUGGUAAGCAGCUCUUUCUUAACCCUUUAGGAUUCAGGCCUCUUGCAUGUCAGGGCCUGCCUCUCCCCAUUCAUUCCACUCCCCGGCUAAGCUGGCAAAACUUUUCUCUGCCCAGUCACAUAGUUGUCCCGUCCUGAUUUGCAGCGAGUCUUUGGAGGGCAGUUUAUUUUCCUGUGUCACUUGUCACAUGUGGGCUGUUUGUUUCAAAUUGAAGCCUUCUGGCGUAUGUAGCUAACCUGUUUUUGUGGUUGUGUUCACCUUUUGUGGAGCUUUUUCUGAUUCCUUACAGAUUCAUCAGAGCAAAAGCCUCCCUGACCUUUCGUACAGAAGCCUUUGCCUUUCUUGGCCAUAAAAUGAGACUUUGGGGCACUGUGUCACUUGUUCCUCCUACAGCCCUGCCUGGGAGUCAUAGUAAACCAGCUGGCCUAAUUUCUGAGAACCUACUUUUCCUCCAGCUACGCCUUCACACCGCCCUUGGUGGACGCCCUUCUGAGGGAGGUAGUAACUGUGACAUGACGAAGUGGCAUAUAUGGAGUUUUAUGUUUUCUAAGUGACUGGUGCCAUCAGGGAAGAAUUAACUAUGCAAGAAAUGGAAGUAGACAAUGAGGAGAAAGGUAUUAUCUAUUCAGUGUGCAAGGUAGAAUUCACUGGUAAUGACCAUUGCUUAACUUCAAGAUUUUUUUUAUACUGUUAUGGAUUGUUCUAGCCAAUUAAAAACGUUAGGUGUUGUCUAUAUAAUUUGGCACAAACUGUGCUUGCCGUUAGACUCCUACAGUACAGUGGGAUACAGCCCUUGCUCUUGGAACUGCUGAGAUCAUAGGAAGAACUUCAAGACCUAAUUCUAGUGCUAGUCUUCAAAAAUGUGUAUUUUGUUUUUUCCCCAUGUGUUUGACAACCUUAUACUUCAAACUGAUUUUCAUUCUGGUAAGUACUUUCUUUUAUCUUUAUUUUUCAGUGGACAAAAGCUCCCUGCUUAGGAGUUUUGGGCUGGCUUGGAAAGGAGCUGAGGAAUAUAUUUCAAUUAUCUAUCACAUUCUGAUUCAUUUGUGUUGUUCACAAAUGUGAGGCCACAGUUGCCAAUGUCUAGAUAAUAAUAUACUUCAGGUCUCUUCUGGUUCCAGAUGAAUUUUAGGAAUGAUUUCUCUAGAUCUGUGAGCUAAAUCUUGGAAACAACCCAACUGCCCAUCAAUCGAGGAAUGGAUGAAAAAAGAUGUGGCAUUUUUAUACAAUAGAGUACUACUCAGCUAUACAGAAAGAUUGUGUCAAGGCUUUUAUAAGUAAAUGGAUGUGAUUUGAUACCAUACUCAGUGAAAUAAAUCAAACUUACAUGUGUAAAUGCUAUAUUGUUUCCCUUAGUGUAAGAAACUGAAAGAACAAAUAUGAUCGAAAAUCUACAAAAUAUUGUAGAAACUGCUAUAUUACUAAUUGUAUUAGUUCUUGGAAAAGAACAGCUAAUACUCAUAUAAUUAGAUCAAUUUUACAUGUGUACAUAUAGUAAACUAAAUUACCCUUUGGAAGGUAACAAUAUGCAAUUUUAUAACCAUUGUUAAAUUCCUGUUAUCUUGUGUUGAAAACCUAUACUCUUUUUGUUUUGGGUCUGUUGUUUGUCUCUCUUGCUUUUUGCUUUUUCUUUUCUGUCUUUUCUCUCUUAGGUAAAUAAAAAAACUGCUAAAAUCUGUGAUUUUAUAUAUUUUAAACAGUUGAAAUGUAUGUGACUCAUAGCUCAAGAAAGGCUAUUAUAACAACAAUUACUAAUAAAGGAAGAAUAAAAUGAUCAGUGAAAUGAAAUGAACAGAAAUCACGGACAGUCUGCGUAUUAUGACAUUUCCCUCUCCUCCCCCGCUCUCACCCCUUCCUUAUUGAGCUGAAUUGUCAAUGUGAUGAGCCUGAUUGCUGUCCAGGGGAUUAGCAGUAAGACACUUUUUGGCAUAAGUCUCUGUGGUGCAUGGAGGCAGGACUUUGGGUCCGUAUCUAGUCUAGCUCCUUUCUCCCUGGCACUGUUCUGCUCUGUUCCCAUCCUCCUGGAAGUGGGCUGCUGCUCUGCCAUGCCCUUCCACCAUGAUGCUCCUGCCUUGGAGCAGGUGGACAGUGGCAUGAAUCCUCUGGAUCUGUGAUCCAAAUUAAAUCUCUGCUUAAAGCAGCAGCUGUUGGACAUUUUGCACGAGCAAUGGGAAUGCCCUUCCCUUUUCUUCCCUUCCACUUUAACCUCCCUCUUUUUUUUUCUUUGCAGUAGAAGUCUUUUGACUGGCAAAAAAUGAAUCUUAAUGAGGUCAAUUUGGGCCCCUUAUCAAUUCAAAUAAAUCCCUCUAUUUUAGAUAGGAUUUUUAAAAGCUUACAAACAAAAAUCCAAGGACAACACAUAAAACUUACUUUUAUCCAUAGUUGGUGAAACCUAAUGGUUCCUUGCUGGCAGUGUUUCUGGAUUCCAGUUUAAGCUUAGCUAUUGAGCCUAUCGAUUCAGUGCUUUUAUUUUGAAAUGUGAAGCACUGGAGUUCAGAAAUCCCUUCCUUCAAUAAUGGAAAGUGAAUGUUUUUCUAGGCUUAGUGGUCUAUAUUGCUAGCUUUGCAGGAACAGCUCUGUAUUUUAGUGAAAUCAAUUAUAGUCACUGACAUUGCAUUACCGCAAGGGAGACUGUCUUACACAUUUUGAAGAUAAUUGAAGUCAAAAUAAAAAUCAGGUAACAAUUGUU